AUUGAACCUGGGUCUCCUGUGUCACAGGGAGAUUUUUUUUUUUACCACUGAGCCACCUGGGAAAGCUGUAUAUAAUACGUAAAAUGACAUAUUAAUAACACAAAUAAAAUGCUAUAGGGACUCAGAGGAACUUUGUCCUUUCUUGCUUGGUAGCCAUCUUUCUGCUGGGUGACUGGUUCUGAGCAAGGCUACCGGUGGGAGACAACAUCUGAAGCAUAUCCAGACUAUGCUAUGUUACUACAGGAACUAUAGCCUCACCUUUGAAAGACUGAGGGUUAGUCCAAUCAUGGUGACCCAUCCUGCCUUUGCUUAGGGAGUGACUUUUGAAGUUCAGUGAUGAUGCCGGAUUUGGAGGAAUUCUAGUGGCAUAUGUUUGGGGAGCAGCAUGGUUGAGAAUCAUAUUGGAUCUACAGACGCGCUGAGAAGCACAGACUCGCUGACUGUGGCUGGCUGCCUCUGCUCUUGCUGUUCCCUCCGACUUUCCAUUGUUCCCUCGGGUGAGCUACGUGUAAAGCAGGACCCAGCUCAACCACCUCCUCCUCUGGAAAGCCUUGAUCUUCCCCCAGACAGAGGGAUAUGGACUGUCUGGCAGAGUCACCAGGACAAAGGAUUAAAGGAAGAAAAAGGGAUCCAGAUGUUUCCAUUUGGAGUAAUUGAAUUUUCAGACACAUCUAAUUCAGAUGAGCUCUAUCCGUGGACAACCGAG
rnacentral:lncRNA from 1 species